rnacentral:rRNA from 1 species
GGCCUGCGCGGAAGAUGUAACGGGGCUAAACCAUGCACCGAAGCUGCGGCAGCGACACUAUGUGUUGUUGGGUAGGGGAGCGUUCUGUAAGCCUGCGAAGGUGACCUGUGAGGGUUGCUGGAGGUAUCAGAAGUGCGAAUGCUGACAUAAGUAACGAUAAAGCGGGUGAAAAGCCCGCUCGCCGGAAGACCAAGGGUUCCUGUCCAA